rnacentral:misc_RNA from 1 species
UUAGAUGGGCAGAUGUGGAAUGCAAGGUUAGGUGAAACCGUGGAUCAAGAUGUGAUAAAAUACUCUAACAAUGUGGAGCAUGCUAGAUGUAGACUGUAUUCUUGGUAUUUAGUUUUAGGUUGGAUCUUAGCCACCCCCUGAUAGUUAAAUCUCGUUGGGGUUAGGUGAUUCGAACAUUUUUUUGAUUAGUUGGAUUUUGACCAUGUUGAUCAUCGUCUACCUAACUUCAGGAAUCUUAGAAUAUUCUCAUUGUUUAUUCCUCCUUGUGAAGUCAGAAUACUGCCUGCACAGUUGAG